rnacentral:lncRNA from 1 species
GGGAGACUGUGAUCUAGUUAUCAUCAUAACUAUUUUAUUUUUAGAGACCUAAUAAUUUUAGAAGAUUUAAUUAGAUAAAAUAAAAAAAAAGAUAAGAUUCAAUCCUAAUCUUAAUCCUCCCACUGACUUCACCAAGUCAGAUCAAAGGAGAUUAAGCAAAAAGCUGGUCCGACCAACCAGUCAUAAAUCUUUCUACUAACUUCACCA